rnacentral:rRNA from 1 species
UGCAGUCGAGCGGAGAUGAGGUGCUUGCACCUUAUCUUAGCGGCGGACGGGUGAGUAAUGCUUAGGAAUCUGCCAUUUAGUGGGGGACAACAUUCCGAAAGGAAUGCUAAUACCGCAUACGUCCUACGGGAGAAAGCAGGGGAUCUUCGGACCUUGCGCUAAAUGAUGAGCCUAAGUCGGAUUAGCUAGUUGGUGGGGUAAAGGCCUACCAAGGCGACGAUCUGUAGCGGGUCUGAGAGGAUGAUCCGCCACACUGGGACUGAGACACGGCCCAGACUCCUACGGGAGGCAGCAGUGGGGAAUAUUGGACAAUGGGCGGAAGCCUGAUCCAGCCAUGCCGCGUGUGUGAAGAAGGCCUUUUGGUUGUAAAGCACUUUAAGCGAGGAGGAGGCUACUAGUACUAAUACUACUGGAUAGUGGACGUUACUCGCAGAAUAAGCACCGGCUAACUCUGUGCCAGCAGCCGCGGUAAUACAGAGGGUGCGAGCGUUAAUCGGAUUUACUGGGCGUAAAGCGUGCGUAGGCGGCUUUUUAAGUCGGAUGUGAAAUCCCCGAGCUUAACUUGGGAAUUGCAUUCGAUACUGGGAAGCUAGAGUAUGGGAGAGGAUGGUAGAAUUCCAGGUGUAGCGGUGAAAUGCGUAGAGAUCUGGAGGAAUACCGAUGGCGAAGGCAGCCAUCUGGCCUAAUACUGACGCUGAGGUACGAAAGCAUGGGGAGCAAACAGGAUUAGAUACCCUGGUAGUCCAUGCCGUAAACGAUGUCUACUAGCCGUUGGGGCCUUUGAGGCUUUAGUGGCGCAGCUAACGCGAUAAGUAGACCGCCUGGGGAGUACGGUCGCAAGACUAAAACUCAAAUGAAUUGACGGGGGCCCGCACAAGCGGUGGAGCAUGUGGUUUAAUUCGAUGCAACGCGAAGAACCUUACCUGGCCUUGACAUACUAGAAACUUUCCAGAGAUGGAUUGGUGCCUUCGGGAAUCUAGAUACAGGUGCUGCAUGGCUGUCGUCAGCUC